GGGCGGUUAGCUCAGUUGGUAGAGCAUCUCGUUUACACCGAGGGGGUCAUACGUUCGAGUCGUAUACCGCCCACCA
rnacentral:tRNA from 1 species